rnacentral:rRNA from 1 species
UACGUAGGGGCCGAGCGUUGUCCGGAGUUACUGGGCGUAAAGCGCGCGCAGGCGGCCACUUAAGCCCGGCGUGAAAGCCCCCGGCUCAACCGGGGAGGGUCGUCGGGGACUGGGUGGCUUGAGGACGGCAGGGGCCGGUGGAAUCCCCGGUGUAGCGGUGAAAUGCGUAGAGAUCGGGAAGAACAUCGGUGGCGAAAGCGCUCUACUGGACCGCAACUGACACUCAGGGACGAAAGCUAGGGGAGCGAAUGGG